rnacentral:rRNA from 1 species
UACGUAGGGACCGAGCGUUGUCCGGAUUCAUUGGGCGUAAAGAGCUCGUAGGCGGCUGUUCAAGUCGAACGUGAAAACUCGGAGCUCAACUCCGAGCCUGCGUUCGAGACUGGAUGGCUAGAGUCUGGUAGGGGGGGGUAGAAUUCCACGUGUAGCAGUGAAAUGCGUAGAGAUGUGGAGGAACACCGAUGGCGAAGGCAGCCCCCUGGGUCAAGACUGACGCUCAUGCACGAAAGCGUGGGGAGCAAACAGG